UACACAGACAGAGAUAAGGCUCUGGUCUGGACUACAGCAGAGUUAUAUAGAGUUUACACAGACAGAGAUAAGGCUCUGGUCUGGACUACAGCAGAGUUAUAUAGAGUUUACACAGACAGAGAUAAGGCUCUGGUUUGGACUACAGAUGAGUUAUAUAGAGUUUACACAGACAGAGAUAAGGCUCUGGUUUGGACUACAGCAGAGUUAUAUAGAGUUUACACAGACAGAGAUAAGGCUCUGGUCUGGACUACAGCAGAGUUAUAUAGAGUUUACACAGACAGAGAUAAGGCUCUGGUUUGGACUACAGCAGAGUUAUAUAGAGUUUACACAGACAGAGAUAAGGCUCUGGUUUGGACUACAGAAAUUGGAGUCUGUCUGUCUCUCUCCUCUCUCUUCUCUGUUCUCUCCAAUCCCAAUUCUCUCUCCCUAUCGAUCUCCUUCCCCAUUAGUUAAGCUACCUGCUUGACACCCCCCUGUCGCUGUUUCUCUCUACCCCCUCUCCCUCCUCUCUCCCUCCCCUUUCUCCUUCUCUCUCUCCAUCAACUCCUCUCUCCCAUCUCUCUCUCUCCCUCUCUCUCCCUCACCUCCUCUCUCUCCCUCCUCUCUCUCCCUUCAUUCGUCUACUCCCUUCCCUUGUCUACUCCCUUCACUUGUCUACUCCCUCCCCUCCUCUCUCUCCCUUCACUUGUCUACUCCCUUCACUUGUCUACUCCCUCCCCUCCUCUCUCUCCCUUCACUUGUCUACUCCCUCCCCUCCUCUCUCUCCCUUCACUUGUCUACUCCCUUCCCUUGUCUCUCCCUCCCCUCCUCUCUCUCCCUUCACUUGUCUACUCCCUCCCCUCCUCUCUCUCCCUUCACUUGUCUACUCCCUCCCCUCCUCUCUCUCCCUUCACUUGUCUACUCCCUUCACUUGUCUACUCCCUCCCCUCCUCUCUCUCCCUUCACUUGUCUACUCCCUCCCCUCCUCUCUCUCCCUUCACUUGUCUACUCCCUUCACUUGUCUACUCCCUCCCCUCCUCUCUCUCCCUUCACUUGUCUACUCCCUCCCCUCCUCUCUCUCCCUUCACUUGUCUACUCCCUUCACUUGUCUACUCCCUCCCCUCCUCUCUCUCCCUUCACUUGUCUACUCCCUCCCCUCCUCUCUCCCCCUUCACUUGUCUACUCCCUCCCCUCCUCUCUCUCCCUUCACUUGUCUACUCCCUUCACUUGUCUACUCCCUCCCCUCCUCUCUCUCCCUUCACUUGUCUACUCCCUUCACUUGUCUACUCCCUUCACUCAGUAAGAUAUUGGAGGGUAUUGUGAGUAGACAAAUAUGGGAGUACAUGAAAAAUAAUGAUCUGAUUACAGCCAAUCAGCAUGCUUAUUGCAAAAACCAUUGCACUACCACUGCAAUGGUUGACAUGACAUGACAGUGGUUCAAUGCUAUGGAUAAUGGCAGGUUUGUGGGUGUAUUAUUUUUGUAUUUUACUGCAGCGUUUGAUUUAGUGGAUCAUGAAAUAAUUUUGACAAAAUGAAUGCAUUAUGGUUUUAAGGAGGUAGCAUUGAAUUGGGUACAGUGAUAUCUAACUGACAGGAAACAGUCCACCUAUAUCAAUGGUUCAUUUUCUUCCCCUCAUGCUUUAAACUGUGGCAUACCGCAGGGCAGCUGCCUUGGGCCACUUCUUUAUUUAAUAUAUACCAACGACCUUCCUUAUGCCUUAUCUGUAACUCAAGCUACUAUAUUUGCAGAUGAUACUACAAUUUAUACAGCAAGACAAUCGGUUCAACAGGUACAGCAAGCUUUACAAGGAGAUUUUGAGAAUAUCAGGGAGUUGGUUUGCCGGAACAAACUUGUUUUAACAAGAAAACCAAAGUUAUGUUGGUCUGUUCCACUAAGAAAAGGCCAACACAACAUGGGGAUACAAUUAAGUAUGGAGGGAGUUCAAAUUAAGGAAGUGUCAGAAACCAAACUACCGGGAGUGCAGCUAGACAACUGAGGAAGUGGCAGAAACUAAACUACCGGGAAUGCAGCUAGACAACUGCUUAUCAUGGUCGUCUCAAAUAACUAAUCUAUGUAAAACAAAUAUUAAAACAGCAUGUAUGAUCAGAAGGAUAGCUAAAUAUUUACCAGGAAAGAUUCUUAAGUAAAUAACACAAGCAUUAAUUGAGAGUCAGGUGAACUACUGUUCUGUGGUCUGGGGAAAUGCAUCAUCAAGUGAAGUUAGGAGGCUGCAGAUUGCACAGAACAAAGCAGCAAGGAUUGCUUUAAGGUGGAGAUAUGGUUCUUCUGUUGUAGUCAUGCGCAAUGCUCUUGGUUGGUCAUCAAUCAACAAGAUAAUUGAAAAAAACAUGCUUAUUUUAUUUAAUAAUAUACACCAUUUAAAACAGCCAAACUCUAUUCACAACAGUAUUCAGUUGGUAAGAGACAGACACUCAGUAAAUUCUAGGAAUAGAUUGUCCACCAUCUAUGUGUUUUCCAGACAGAAAAGAGAAAUAGGCAAAAUAACAUUUUAUUUAGAGCAAUAUAGAAAUUGAAUAAUUUAACUGAGCGAAACCUCUCAAUAUAUACAUUCAAACAAUACUUUAAAACCAUUUAAAUAUAAUACAUAGAAAUGUUGUGAUGGACUAUAGUAGAUGAAAAAUCAAUAUAUUUUUAGACUGUUAGAGUAUUUAUCUGGUCAAUAUGUUAGUGUAUUAUGUCUGUUUGAAACAGUGUGUUAUAUGUGAAAAUGUGAUCGCAUUAUAAAUUGUAUUUUAAUGUUUAAGGACUCUUGGAAGAUUAGUCCAAAUGAGGACUAAAAGAGAUCCAAAUAAAAAUCAAAUCAAGUCUCUCCCUCCUCUCUCUCUCUCCCCUCCUCUCUCUUCCCCUCUCUCUCUCUCCUCCCUCCCCAAAAG
rnacentral:lncRNA from 1 species